rnacentral:rRNA from 1 species
UACGGAGGGUGCAAACGUUGCUCGGAAUCAUUGGCGUAAAGCGCGCGUAGGCGCGAGGCAAGUUGGAUGUGAAAGCCCUGGGCUCAACCUAGGAUGUGCAUACAAAACUGCCUCGCUUGAAUCUCGGAGGGGGUCAGGGAAUUCCCGGUGUAGAGGUGAAAUUCGUAGAUAUCGGGAGGAACACCAGUGGCGAAGGCGGCGACCUGGGCCAAUAUUGACGCUGAGGUGCGAAAGCGUGGGGAGCAAACAGG